CAAACAUCAUAUUGUUUUAUCACUUUUCAUGUCUUUUAGAAUGGUCCAUUGUUUCAAUCACGUCAUUGAAAUCAAAAUGGCUGUCAGCAGCUUCUUACUGUGCUUCCCUGACGAGCCGGGUAAGGAUAUAUAUUGACUGUUUGUUUUCGUAAGCACUUGAGGGUAUAGUUGAGUUAGUUGACCGGUUGUAGUUUGGAAACCUCAAAGGCGGGCUAGCUGCAUGACCUUCCGCCACCAAGACUAAUCUCAAAGCAGGACUUUGGCCAUCUCCCUCGAUAUAAUUAAUUGUUGAAGGGCCUUGAAGGUGUGGACUUUUUUUUAAUUAGUUUCACAAUACGAAAUUGAAGGCACAGACAACAGGACUAAUAAAGUUCCAAAUUAUAAGUCUUCCAUACAUAAAAAUACUACGCUAUACUAUGCCAUACUAUACUAUACUGCUAUAAAAUUAAAAUACUUAGCUAGUUACAUAUUUACGGUAUUAUACACACAAUUACAUUCAUAUACAAAAACUCAGAAUAUGCGGCACUUCUACGAACAACAAGACAUAAAACAAGAACAACAUUUAGAGCAAAAUUUUUUUCAAGUCCUUGGCCUAUUAACAUCAAAACAUGCAUUAACUUUUUAGUGUAGUGAUUAUAUAGACUAAAUUUCAGUGACUGAAUAGAGAGAGAGGAUUUUAUUUCUCCUGGCAGACUGUUCCAUAGUGGCACUAUCCUAUUGAAAAAUAGGUUUCGGAAAGAAGAUGUUCUGCAACGGUUUGGUCUGUAUAUGAAUCAGAGCUAAAGCGAGUGUGAUGAUUGGUAGCAUUGUCUAGUAUAGUAUAGUCUUCAAGUGUUAAGUCAUAAUAAGUUAUUAAAGUGCUUUACAUUUAUAAAAAUGCAUAAUAUCUUUUAUUUCGAACCAGUAUGAAAUAGGCAGUAGAUUAAGUUGCUUUAAAUGGUUGGUGUAAGAUGAGGUGAAGUCUUGAAGGAUAUACUUGGUCGCUUGUCUAAUUCGGAUACUUUCUGGAAAAAGAAGGUCCCUAGAUGUCGUUUGGGGUGCCCAAAUGUCACUGCCAUAACACAUACAGGUGUGAACAAGAUACAAAAAAAAAGAGAGAGCGUCGACAAUUUUGAGUGUUUAUACAUUUAUUAGUCGACCUAACCCUGCUUGGCAGUUGUCUGCUGUAAGCUACGAUUUUAUGUCGAGAACUGACUUUGAUCGUACGCAAAUUUUUAGUAAACAUUUGCUUAUUGAUAUAUUGAUAUCUCACUGAUUCGACUCGAUUCGACUAGACGAUUCCAUUGGUUUAUUGAGUUUCGCACUCAUUGGUGAACGGAUUUCCCAAUAUUUCCCAAUAGACAAUUCCCAUUAUAGACUAAUUUUAAAAUUAGGCAAGGAAACCCAAAUAAAUCAGCACAGCUAGAAAGAGCAUACUAAAAUUAGUAAAAUUACAAAGUUUGGUUGCGAAAUGUUGUAAAAUAAGGAAAAUAUAGCCUUGUAAAGUUCGCAAAUUUUGUAUACUUUUGUAUUGCUUGCGGAAAUUCCUACCACGUUCCUACCACAUUUAGGCCGAAAAUGUCACACGCAAUACAAAAGUAUACAAAAUUUGCAAACUUUGCAAGGCUAUAUUUUCCAAAUUUUACAACAUUUCGCAACCAAAUUUUGUAAUUUUACUCAUUUUAGUAUGCUCUUUCUUGCUGUGGUGAUUUAUUUGCAUCUCCUUGCCUAGUUUUAAAAUUAGUCUAUAAUGGGAAUUGUCUAUUGAUAGGGGAUCCGAGGUACCUACGAUUUUAAACGUCCUUAUCCGAAAAGACUCUAACCAUUUACUGCUGUCAAUGUAAAGGUAUAUAACUUUCUCUUCAAUUAUUUUAAGACCUUGCGCAGAGGUGCGAACAAGGAUUGCCCCGGGUUUCUCAGUUUGAAAGGCGGUAAGCAUGCAUGGUGACCAUGCACGACACCAAAAAUUUACAGCAAAUUGCGGUUAAUUUUGCGCCACCUCCUUCCUUGAAAAGUGCGAUAUUUAACCGCAAAACGUAAACAGUUCGUUGACUGAUUACUAUACGUACAAAUAAACAGUCUAUUGAGAAAUUAAUUCUAACCAUGCAUGCAGUGUUAGAAUACCAGCCGACAAUUUCAAAACAAAAGACAAUCCGAAGAUUAGCCGAUCUUGAAACUCAAGAUAUCAAACAAGACGACAAUGAGUUUGUCUUGUAUUGACUCAUAUUAGUCAUAUACCUUGAGUCUCAAGAUGCUAAUCUUCGGAUAGUGUUUUGUUUUGUUUUUUGUUUUGUGCAGUGUUAUUUUCAAAUACAUUGCGUUUUAUCUGUGAUUUUAUGAAUGACUGUUGGUUGUUGACAAGCUUUGUGAGAAGAUAAAUACCGGUAUAUACCGGCUCAUGAAUACAUGCAGUAAACAACAUACAAUUCCGUGGUAAAUCAAACUGUUUGCUCAGUAUGACUGCCUUGAGACGCCUGGGAUUCCGCUUCGCAUGCCGUGACGGAAUACAUUGGACACAGAUGUACGACAUUUGGGUCACAUAAGCUCAUUUGCAUAAUUCACGCAACAGUUAUUUCAAGGUCAUGUUUACAUGGAUGGUUAUAGCGUCCUUAGCUUUUGCCAAAAAGUGGGCGGGCGGUCGUUUUUUUUUAAAAUUUAUACUAAUUUUUAACGCCUUGGUUUUAGGUACGAAACUGGAUUUUCGUGCGCAGUACAGAUAUUUUUUAUAUGUAUUUCGGAGUGUGAUUCAUACCGUCAUCAGUCGCACGCUUUGCCUUCUAGAAUAAGUUUUUAUUUAAAGUACUAGUAAUAUUGGAAGUUAAUAUCGUGCACAUUUAAAUUUAUUAACACAAUUGACUACAGAAAUACUACAUAUAUUAGAGCCCGUUGAUCAAUAAAAGUUGUUUUUUUUAAAUAAAAACUGAUAAAAAAAUCCUGAACGGGGCCUUUUUUGUGGGCGGGCGAGGACGCUAAUUUUUUUAUGUGGCCUAACAAGGGUUACCCUACCCAGAGGUCAAAAACUAGCGAGUAUUUACAUGAGAUAGGGUCACCCUACUGCUAGGGCUAUGUUGCCCAGAUAUGGUAAUCCUACCUAUCAUGGUCGGUAAGGCCACUCUUAUUUGAAAAUGGCCGUCGCGAAGUUUUAGCAGCAAGUUGUAUAAUUUUAUCUCUUGGACCUUUGCUUGCUGCAUGUCAAAAUGACGAAUAAAACAUGACUUGCUUGAUAGGUUAACCCUACCCCUAGGCCCUAGGUAACCCUAGCGCGCAUGUAAACGCAACGCGCAAACACAAUAGACUCGCUUACUAGGGUAACCCUUCUGCUAGAGUUACCUUACCUCCAUGUAAACAGGCCCUAAUAGGAACUAAUUUUAUGGAAUUUGUACUUUGACUUGAAAAUUCCAGAGUGUGUUAAUUAUAGACUUCCUGUAUUGAAUUCACUAUUCCAUUACUGAGUCGGCAAAUUUGGAAACAAUUAUAUCUUCCCAGACAAAUAUGAAAGCAAAACGAAUCGGCAUAAUUGCUGUCGCCAGCUGAGCCUUUUUUGGGUAACCUUUGUUAAAAGUUUUAUUAAAACAUCAAUCGUAUUUAACCUUUGGAGACUUAUUUACACAAGGAAGGAUCAAUUUCAAUUUUAUUGAACUUUGCAAAAUAUGUUGAUUUUAAUAAUUGGCAAAAACGCGUUAAUAAUUUGUUUGUCAGUCUUUAAUUUAUGUUGAAUUGCAUUUUUCCGUUCGACAACAUGAUUUGCUCAUUAGAAGGAAAAACAAAUGUUAUCAAGGUUGUUUAACAUUGACAGAUCUCCUAACUAUAGAAUUUCAAGUUAAAUUAAGUUUCACAACCAAACCCAACGAUUCAUUAGAAAACGCAUAUUUCAAUAAAUGCUGCAUUAGAAGUGCUUAAGCCUUAAAGUGGGACAUGCACGUGGGCAGUGCGUGUUACGAAAUUUUUCUUAAUAUGACAGCGUUUAUAUGCUGGCUUCUGCUAUGUUUUUCAGGCCAUAUAUUACGUUCAUUUCAAGUGCGGAAUAUAUCUUUGUAGAGUGUGCCGUUAGAUUAUCACUAUUAUAAACGCUUUAUAUAUUGGUGGCCUAUGUAACAUAAUGUGGUUUUCAAAUGGGACCUCUAUUUGCAUUAAGUGCGCAAAAUGAUAUAACAAUGCGCACAGAAUCUUCGCAUUGUUGCGCCAUUUACAUUUCCUGAACAAAUUAACAUUUCCUGCACAAGACGUUCAUUGCGUGAUUUCGCCAAUACAUCCCGUACUUAUUAAAGGUAUGGAUUGCAGGUUAAUUAUAUAAUUGAUUCUUGAUUUCACCAUAUUAUUAUGAGAUAAGGAAAAUGGUUCUAGCUAAUGGGUCUGCAUGCCACACUUUUGCCUCCUUAUAUAGUUAUAUAAACAUAUGUCUCUUUAAAUUUUGGAUAUUCCAUUUAAUUGUCCCGUCAGCACGUAUUGAAUAUUCAAGUAUCAAUUGGGAGUUGUUUAUUUUGUCUCUGCAAAAAAUUUUUCAAGACUGCAUUUGCACCGCCAAUUACGUUUUUAAUGAAGUCGCACAUUUUCUACUUGACGAAGAAAAAUGCAAUAUAACCGUAAUUAAAGCUAAUCACCUAAUGCCAGUCAGGUUCGAAACGUCGAGAAAUUUGGUCUAUAUUUUUCAGAUUAGAGCUAAUUUGCGUUUUAUUUUCCUUCCUUUAUUAUCGAAUAUGUUUAUUUCGCUAUAAAAACCAACGUUUUUGUGUAUAUCACAAAAAUCUUAUCCAAUAUAACUGUUUAUUAUUAUACCAACACAAAAUUCCAUCCACGUACGGCUAUUAAGUCCAUCAAAAAAAUGCCUUACAAACGAAUACAAGGUCUGGUCUUUUGGUCGACUAAAUUAAAAAAAAAGGCUAUUUGUAGUAUUUUUUUAUUGUUAUUCAAUAAAACGUUCGGUAUUUACAAUAUUAUCGGCAUGAUGAAUGUGUAUCACUAUACUGUAUGCAAUAGCAAUAUUAGUUUAGAUACAUUUUUUAUAAAAAAAUUAUCCUGUUAAUUUGUGUGUCAAUAUGUUCUCUUACUUUCAAACUCAAAAACAUUAUAUAUUUCGUACUAAUAUAUUUUGGACUGGAGUACUGUCCGUCAAUCUAAGAUCAACUGUAACUGACAUUUCAUCACUGCUCGUUCCAUGGGCAAUAUUAAUGAGGGGUUUGCCAGUACUGGUACCCCCAGGAAAAAGGGGCCACGCCCUUUAAAUUGGUUCAAAAGUGCAACCAUGCCUGCCUGCCCACUAAAAGCAAUGUAUGACAAGAAUUUUCUAAGCGAAUCAUUGUUGUUUUUUUGCCACAGAAGAAUACAAGUGAAACGGUGAAUUUGAUCGCUUUAUCGCACAAAAUUCUAGUUGAAAAACAUUCGAAUAUUUCAUUUACAUUAUUGAAUAUGUAAACAAGGUCAAAAUAGUUGGUUCUGUUAAAUACAAAUUUAUCAAAACAAAUCUGUUAUCACUGCACAUUUUCACUUUAUCAAUGCACAAAUUUUUUAUCACUGAACACUACAAUUAGGUAUGUUAUAAAAAGCUGAAAUAAAUAAAUAAAUAAUUAAUAAAGCAUUAUCAUUAUUAUCAUUAUUAAUUACAUUAUCAUUAUUAUUAUCAUUAAGUAUUAUUAUUAAGUAUCAUUAUUAUUAUCAUUAAGUAUUGUUAUUCAUAUCAUUAUUAUUAUUAUUAUCAUCAUUAUCAUUAAGUAUUAAUUGUUAUUAUCAUCAUUAUCAUUAUUAUUAUUAAGUAUGAUUAUCGUUAUCUCAAGUUAUUAUUUGAUUAUGUAAUUAGUUGCAUAGUUAUUUCACUGAGAACUUUACAGCAGUUUAAUUUAAAUCAUAUUUAAUGAUCUCGUUAUUUUCUUUAUAUAAACUUAGCUUUUCCCCUUUUUUCACUUUCGGAAUUGAAUAAGGAAAUAUAUGAAUAUAGUCAUUUUGAACAGUCAUGUAUGCAUGUGCAUAAUGUUAAAAUGAACAAGUUAAUUCACUAUUUAUAUUAAUGUUAGUAUACGUUUAGUCAAUUCACAGUUCAUUUUGUAAUUAUUUGUAGUAAAACUCUUUAAAUUUCAUCGGAAUCGAGGUAUUCGCUGUUCUGAUCAUCAUGUUCCGUUUGAAUGUGCUGUUUGAGAUCGCAUCUUCGCGAGAACGCCGUUUUACAGUAACGGCAACGAUACGGAGUGUUAUCAGUGUGAAUAUGAAGGUGGAAUUUCAAAUUGGACAACUUAUUAAAAGCUUUAUUACACAAACGACAGUUAUACGGUUUUUCGCCAGUGUGAAUCAACAAGUGAUUUCGAAGAUUGCCUUUCUGAUGGAAACCUUUGCCACAGAUAUCGCACACGAAUUCCUUCUUUUCGCUGUGAGUACGAAUGUGCGUCUUCAACGUCGAGCUACGGUUGAACGCCUUUUGGCACACGUGACAUUUAUGCGGUUUGUCGCUGGUGUGAAUGAUCUUAUGUCGACAGAGAGUGCUCGAGAGGCGAAACCCUUUGCCACAGAUAUUACAGACAAACGGACGAGCUCCAGUAUGGCUGGGCAUUUUGAGAUGAAUGGUCAACGUGUAUUUUGUUUUAAAAGUCUUGCCACAUUGCUCGCAUCUGUAGAUCGGUUUCAUGCCAGGUGCAGGGGCGGGGAUCUCUCUAGACUCGGGUGUGUUUAGUUCAGAUUUGGCCGCUUCUUUGUUCAAGAUUUCAAGCUGUGAUCCAACCACUCCAAUCUUCUGCGGUGAAGAUGCGAAGAAUUCGGAUUUUGUGAAAUUGUUAUUCUUCUCAAUCAUGUCACCAUCGAUGUAACUUUGGUACAUGUAGGAAUCCUUCGUCUCCAUUUUGUUUUGUUCAUUUGGCCAGAAAACAUUCUCCCCUCCAUAAAAUCCUUGUUCCACCUUUGCUUCUUCAGGUAAGGACAAGCCUUUCUUUUGUCCUAAACAACAAAAUGACUUAAUUUUAAACAAAAUGAUUUAAUUUUCUCAUGCAAAUAAUUCUAACAAAGCUAAGGAAUAUAAUUAACAGUGCCACUCGCUGUUAAGUCUGCCCCGACAUGCAUUGGCAGACUUGAUUUUAAUCAGAGAUGAAACUGAUUGUGAACUAAUUGGAUGUCAGUGCCACUCUCUAUUCUUACGUCUUAGUUUUCGUUAUUUGUAAUAUUAAUUUCUUACCACAAUUUUGCAUUAUUCAGGUUAUAUUUUAUGCAUUACUGGGCUAGUAACCAAUUUUUCAAGAGAAACUGUUAUUUAAGUCAGAAAUAGAACGUUAUGAAAUGCAUCACAAAAUCUUGGAUUUUUAAAUGCUAGAAAUUCACAACUUUGAUAAAAAUUAGUCCUCUCACGAAACACGGAAAAUGCUCUUCCGAGGCUUAAGAAACACAACAUUUUUCUGAGGGAGAAUGCCCCCAGACCCCCCUUGGUUGAGCCCCCACCCCCAAUAACGAUUUGCCUCCGACGACACUGAUAUAGCAUAACUCCAAUGGCCAGAAUUUCCGUUCCUCCAGAGUAAAGAAGGGAGUGAAAUAUUUUUCAGCCUCAGCUUAAAAUUAAACAUUCAAUUUGUCCUGAUAGAAUCAAUAUUCUUAGAUAUCGAAUGGAUUAAUUUAUGAUAUAGCAUAACUCCAAUGGCCAGAACUUCCGUUCCUCCAGAGUAAAGGAGGGAGUGAAAUAUUUUUCAGCCUCAGCUUAAAAUUAAACAUUCAAUAUAUCGAAUGGAUUAAUUAAAAUUCCAGUCCAUUUCGAGAACAAAUAGCGCAUAAAAUUCUCAAAAGUGAAAGCUUGUUAAUUCUUCUUCAUCAAUUAUAAGCGCUAUCAAUCUUAGAAAUGAUAAAAAUACUUUAUGGAAUUCGAUUUCCGAGAUGCCUGGAAAAAUUGUAUUCGAACAAUCGUUGUAUAAACCUGACGAAAUUAAACUGCUCAUAGAACACGUACGCAACGCAAAAACGUAUAGUUUACUCUAUUAGUACAACAAGCCAGUAUGCUAUUGGAAUUGAUAAUGAAAACAAAAGAACCGCUAACCUUUGCAUUCAAAAUUUAUCCACAUUGAAUGAGUGGUGAAAGAAUAUAAAUAAUAUAGACAUGAAACUGGCGAAAUAAGCAAACCAUUUAUAUGCAAUUAUACACAUAUAUACAGUUGUUUAUACCCAUGAUAUAUUAUUAGUAGUUAAUUCGUAGUAUUUUAUUUAGUCAAAUAUUUGAGUAUUAAAAUUGCAUGUGGAUCGAUGCAUAGGUUGUGUAAACGCAGAUCUAAAAUUUCAAGAAACUAACGGUGUAAAUGUCAAGGAACAGAAGCGAAGGACGGAAACGAUUCUUGCACUAGCGACUCAGUUAAUCUGAGAUAAAAAAAGCUCGGCUUUGGUAAGAAAGGGGAGAUGUGCUACUAUACUCUAUAAUAUGCAAGCUAAUCCAUUGAGUUGCGAUAAACUAUGGACGUUUAUAACAGUUUACAACGUUUCUUUGAGGCACAGAUGAAAAUGCAAGUAUAGUAGUACAUACCUUUACUUUGUAUCUUCGCAUUGCUUCUAGCAUUUUCUGGAACAUUUAAACUUCGGCGGAGGAGAAACGACCUUGGCAUUUUGAAAUCGAACUGAGAUUUCGCCCAAGACUAGAGCAGUGCAACAAUCGGGAAACUAUCGUUGAAAAACGCCUAUGAGAUGCUCAGAACACACAACAGUUCCGAAACAAGUCAGUUCAGGAUAAACUGCACGCUUCAAGCUGUUUCUCAAGUGUGUUGUGCCGUUGCCUGCCCAAAUGCGUCUGAGGAACCGCGAAUUCAGCAUAUGAAGCAUUUGGGUCAAUUUAAGUGUACCGCAAGAAGAGUAGAGGUUAGAAAACAAUGCCGAGAUUGACCAAUCAGAUGCUUUGUUUUAGUAAACACGGGGGCAGGAAUGGCUUUUUAUGGUCCGUGGCCAACUGGUAGACAACUGGUGCUCAAAGAGAUCACCUGUCCUCAAUAAUUUGAAUACAAACUUAUUUAAACUACUAAUUUAACUGUCAUCAAUUGUAGUUUGAAUCAUUUGAAGUUUUCGAUGGAAGGCAUAUUUUUGUUUAUUUUACUUGUGUCAUAUAUAUUCUAAGCCGGAAAAAGAACGUAUAUAGAGUGAUAUACAUGUAAAUAUAGUCGAUAGAAUAGAAUGCUAUUUUAACAUCCCAAUUGAGAUUGCCCACAUGAUUUAAAGUUAGUAUUUGAAAACAAUUUUUCACGUUCGUUUGACCAAUUUUCUUCAAGUUAUAUACUAAUAAACUAUAAUAUUACCAUUUAUCAUAUAUUUUCAAAUGAUUAUACUGAACGCUGUUAAAUAUAGCCUAGGUAUUCUUUCUGUGCUGUUUGGCUUAUUUGCAAUUCGGGCAAGUAAAGUUUUAUGCAAAACUGUUAAAGUUUGUAUGGCUGGCAAAAUAUUAAGAAAUAGAGCGACAAAUUUACCCUCUAAAAGAAUUAACAUAUAAAUCGAAAAAGUAUGUCCAAAAAUGUAGUGUUUUAACAGUUCUAAUGCCUAUAUAAGUAAACUCCAUAUAAAAAAUGCUCGACUCUUGCAUUUCAAAUAUAAAGCAAGUUUUUUAUCUUUGAAGUUGUAUCUUUCUACAGAAAUCUUUACAGUAGUAAAAGGCUUAGAAUUUCUUAUCUUUGCAUAAUUUGAAGCCAAGUGUGACAUUGCGAUAUUGAUUAAAAUUAAAAUCCAAUUUGAAUUAUCAUUCUCAAAUUGAUAACUACGUACAAAAGUAGCAAAUUAAGUGAGGAACGUUACAAAUUCGAUGCAAAAAUGCACGCGGGAAAAGACGAAUUUCAAGCGCUUAAAAUAAUCGCGAAUUUGUGUGUUGUGCCUUUUUUAUAUUCAAAAUCAAAACAACAAGCGGUGCAUAUAAAAACAUGCAUAAAUUGUGGUCAGUCGUGCAUGCUGCUUUAUAAACUCGUGUAUUACACAUAUGCGAGGCAUAUGUAAUAUGUUUUGUCGUUUAUAUACAUGAUUACAAACAGUUAUUAAUGUUUUGAGACUUAUAGUAGGUUAAAAAGGCGAAAUUGUGCGAGAUUUUCACAUAUACGUAGCACCGAAUAAGUUCGGUUGCCCGUUUUCUUUCAAUUUUGAAGCACAUUAAAGAUUAAUUGUUUAAAAAACAUCAACCGACUAGUAGCGACCGCAACGUGUUGUUCAUAUAAACGAAACCUAUAAAUAAAGUGAAAACUUAAACAAAUUUGAAGGCAAAACCAAGCUAAUUUACGAAAAGAAUGCCGAAAAUUUCUAUUUUCAACCGUUUUUCGAUAAAACACCUAAUUUGGAAGGUGUUAUGUAUACUUAUGCUAUAAAUCUUAAUGAAAAUGUUCUUAAACAUUUUUCGCACGUAAUUCCAACAUGGCUGACUCGGCUCCCUGCUUGAUGCAGCUUGCCAGGUUGACCGCAGAACAAAGUAAUGUAUAUAAACUGCAAUUAUAUCGAUGUUAGAAUUUUCGCGUUCAUCACAAAAGCAUUGUUUUAGAGUGAAAGUAAUUAUGUAAGGCAAAGUAAAUGAAUGUCAUUUUUGAAUAAUGCCGAUAAAUGGCAUUGUAAUAUGAAGCAUAAUUAGACGUGCUGAUUUGUGUAGUUUCUUACUGAGCCAGGCUGAACCAGUGACAAUCACUAGAACUCUAUUAUACAACUCAAAGGAAUGAUACAUAACAGCCGAUUGAACUUAUAGCUAUAAGCAGUAAGCUAACUAGAAUCAAAUCUCCCACGCAUCAGACUCGUAACUAGGAUUCUAUAUUUACCGAGUCGACCGCCGAAGGCGCCAGAAACCUCUAGGAGAGUCUGCGGAAUUUUUAAUUUCUUAGACUUGGACUAUUUUCAACAUUUUCUUAGGCUAUUUCCUACAUUCUGAGAGCGUUUUUAACGAAAAAAAUCAAUCUUACAAACAGUGACACAAUGACUAUAAUUUUAUCUCAAAAUUUUUCUCUAUUGUUCUCCAAUCCUAAGACAAAUCACGCACAAAUCGUGGCUAUAAGAUAUGCCGAAAACAGGUAUACUUUAUAGCUACAAACCCUGGCUAUAAUUGGCCUGCGUAUGGACCCAACGAUCCAACUCAUUUCUUCGAGGAAUCUUACUGAGUAUAAUUAAGUCGACUUGUAUCAGUUCUAAACUGAUAUCUAUUCUCUCUAUAAAGAUCCAGUGAUAAAAAUCCUUCACCGUACCGGCAUCCUACUGCAGGAAACCUAAACAAACCUUACAUUACUGAGAAAUUCCCAGGAGCCUCUUUGCGCCAUUGUCAGAACAAGCGCCUGGCACCUGCGGACUCAUGAUAUUCAUGUGAAAAGAGUCAGUCAACAUUCUUCCGAAAGUCGUGGGUUUUCUCCGGGUAUACUUGGGUUUCUUCCCACGGGGAAUUUUGACAGGGUGAGUUGGAAUUAGCUCCUAACUGACCCCCUCACCCGUACAGGGCCGGCAUCAGGUAGUCGGCAAAAUAUUAGAUCCCACUCGGCAAAACAUGGAUUUGGAUUGGAAGAGAAAAAAAUUUGAGUGACACCGAUUACAAAUUAAGAAUGAUAGCUAAAAGGUGGAGAAAUCAGUACGAAAAAAAUAGGGGGAAAUUGAACAAAAGAACGAUAAAACUGUGGCAAUUGAUGCACCAGGCGGAAAUCUUAGUUUAAAGAUAAAGAGCAGAGCCCAGCAAAUAACUUUAAAUCCAAACAUAAUAAAAGUAAAAAAUUUAUUAGCUAACGUUUCGUUGUUUACAAUACAACAUCUUCAGAGCAAUCUAAAUGAAUUUACAGGGUAUGGUAUAUAUAUUUACAAAAUAAUGGUUUAAUAUUACAAAAACGGUCACAUAGUUUGAAAGAACAAAUGAAUAGAAAGAAAGGAAAACAACUUAUCAGUAACUAGUUAAUAAGUUAAGAUUAAUGUAUGGUUAGUAUAGUUAAGGUUAAUAUUACAUAACUAAAAUAACUCAAGAGAGGUAGAUCUAAUAUUAGCAUUAAGAACAGGGUUAAGUUGAGAUAUUAAUAGGCUUUCACGGAUAAGAAGAAACCACUCAGAAGUGCCUGAUGAUAGGAUUUUGAAAUUAGAAGCGGAGACUGGGUGUUUGUGAACAAUAAACGAUAAAAAAACGAUAAAAGAACGAUAAAAGAACGAUAAAAGAACGAUAGUUAAACACAAAAUAAGAAUGAGAAAUAUUCACUCGGCAAAAUUUACUUAUACCCCCCUCCCCCCAUUCAAAGAGGUCUAGCGCCGUCCCUGCCACAGUAGCUGUGCUUCGUGAUCAUAGAUAAGUCAUAAAGUAGCCUCAGGUAGAACUUCGUAAUUCAGCUUAGCUCUCAGCUGCAAGUAACGGGAUGAUUAGCACAUUCCCCACUUAUACUUGCUUACUGUCUUGUUCCAUUUCUUCUUUAGUGACAGCAGACUUUGUUACCUCAAAAGGAAUCAAAUAAGAGAUCCCCAAAACCUGCAAUGUUUGAGAGAGUCAAGUCAGUUAACCUGGAAAUACUUUAACUUCUUAAAUGUGAGUCUCCAAGGAAUUAGCAUUUCUCACGGCCGAUUUUUCCGCCAUUUUGGGGUAGUACCUCUCCCACGUUUAAGAGUGUUCGUACCACGAAAUCUUUUUAUUA